UUCAUCGAUGCCAGAACCAAGAGAUCCGUUGUUAAAUUUUGAUUUAUUUAUAGUUUUACUCAGAAGUUCCAUAUAGAAACAGAGUUUAGGGGUCCUCGGCGGGCCGUCCCGUUUUACCGGGAGCGGGCUGAUCCGCCGAGGCAACAAGUGGUAUGUUCACAGGGGUUUGGAGUUGUAAACUCGGUAAUGAUCCCUUCCGUAGGUGAACCUGCGGAGGGAUCAUUACCGAGUUUACAACUCCCAAACCCCUGUGAACAUACCACUUGUUGCCUCGGCGGAUCAGCCCGCUCCCGGUAAAACGGGACGGCCCGCCAGAGGACCCCUAAACUCUGUUUCUAUAUGUAACUUCUGAGUAAAACUAUAAAUAAAUCAAAACUUUCAACAACGGAUCUCUUGGUUCUGGCAUCGAUGAAGAACGCAGCAAAAUGCGAUAAGUAAUGUGAAUUGCAGAAUUCAGUGAAUCAUCGAAUCUUUGAACGCACAUUGCGCCCGCCAGUAUUCUGGCGGGCAUGCCUGUUCGAGCGUCAUUUCAACCCUCAAGCACAGCUUGGUGUUGGGACUCGCGUUAAUUCGCGUUCCCCAAAUUGAUUGGCGGUCACGUCGAGCUUCCAUAGCGUAGUAGUAAAACCCUCGUUACUGGUAAUCGUCGCGGCCACGCCGUUAAACCCCAACUU
rnacentral:rRNA from 1 species